UAUUUUAAGCUAAGACGGCAUCAAUUGGGGAUUUGAUGGUCGCAAAUUCAGUUUACUGGUGACGCGUUAGCGGAGACAGUAAACGGGUAUUUGUGACCAUCAAAUCCCCAAUUGAUGGCAUCAGAGCUUACAAUA
rnacentral:sRNA from 1 species